AGUUUGAUCUUGGCUCAGAUUGAACGCUGGCGGCAUGCCUUACACACGCAAGUCGAACGGCAGCACGGGAGCUUGCUCCUGGUGGCGAGUGGCGAACGGGUGAGUAAUGCAUCGGAACGUAUCCUGGAGUGGGGGAUAACGUAGCGAAAGUUACGCUUAUACCGCAUAUUCUGUGAGCAGGAAAGCGGGGGACCUUCGGGCCUCGCGCUCUUGGAGCGGCCGAUGUCGGAUUAGCUAGUUGGUGAGGUAAAGGCUCACCAAGGCGACGAUCCGUAGCAGGUCUGAGAGGAUGAUCUGCCACACUGGAACUGAGACACGGUCCAGACUCCUACGGGAGGCAGCAGUGGGAAUUUUGGACAAGUGGGGGCAACCCUGAUCCAGCCAUGCCGCGUGAGUGAAGAAGGCC
rnacentral:rRNA from 1 species